CUUCCAUGUGAUGGGGGAGCGGGAGACAGGUCUGCGCGGUUUUUCCAUGUGGUUGCAAGUGACGAGAUUUCACCCAUUUCUAUGAUUGAAGAAUAUUCUACUCUGGAUGUAUAUUGCAAUUUCCUCAUGCCUUCAUCAAUGGAUGGACAGGACAACCAAGGUCUCCUCUGGACAUCACGAGUCAGA